rnacentral:lncRNA from 1 species
CAUGGUAUGUUGAGUGUAAGACUUUCUAUUUACUAAGGGUUAGAGGCAUACUUAUUGAUUUAAUCCGAGUUGGAGCCCUCCCUCUUAAAUGUUGUAAAGCCUGCAUUAUCGGUGGAUGUUUGGUUGAGUAUUCUCCCAUUGAUAAUAAAAUAUUUUUAAGCUUUUGCUAAAAUCAACCCACCCAUCUUGUAAAUUUUUACUACGAACUACGAGGUUUUAAUCCUCAUUUAUGUUGGUACGUAGGCAUAAGAUCUAAAAUUUUAACAAACACAAAAUGUAAAUAAU